GGCGUCAUAGCUCAGCUGGGAGAGCAACAGACUGAAGUAGUUCCGAUCGAAGAUCUCUCGGUAUCUGGAGGUCCCGUGUUCAAUCCACGGUGAUGCCA